UGCGGAAUUGUGUAAGGGUAGCACUAGUGACUCUGACUCACUCUGUUCGGGUUCGAAUCCUGAUUCCGCAGCCA
rnacentral:tRNA from 1 species